CAAACCAUAGCACCAGGAUCAUUAGUAGCCACAUGAUAAAAUGUAUGUCUUCAAGAUUUGAAGACAAUGGCAUAAGGUCAGUGAUCCAGCUGCUUGUACCCCUGACUUUUUCUGACCCUAGGAGAAGGGAGCACUGGCUUUGCUUUCAUCAGGCCAAAGAUGCCUUUCUUUGGGAAUACGUUCAGUCCGAAGAAGACACCUCCUCGGAAGUCGGCCUCUCUCUCCAACCUGCAUUCUGUGCCAGGUAAUGAUUAGAGAAAUGAGUUGUUGGGGUCAUAUUGUUGGCGGAAGAGGAGCUGGGAUGAAGGCGUGUUCCGGGCCUGCUGAAGUUGUCACAUAGCAUCUCGCCCACAGUUGGAUCGAUCAACCCGGGAGGUGGAGCUGGGCUUGGAAUACGGAUCCCCGACUAUGAACCU
rnacentral:sRNA from 1 species